ensembl:lncRNA
AAAUCACUGCUGCCUCUGGUGGACAUUAGAAGAACUGCAGGGUUUUUCAGCCCAGGUAAGAUCUUCAGUUUCAGUUCUUUGGGAAGUGUCAGAGAGGAGGGCUGGGUCUCUUUCUGAAACACUGUGGGUGCAUUUACAAUAAGAAGCGAGGAACGAGCCAAAAAGCUGAGCUUACUGCCAGAAAAACACUUCAUGAAGAUUAAACUGAGGCAGCCAAUCACAGCAAGGCUUGUCCUUCUAAAGAGAUGGGGAGUUGCGUCAUUAUUACACCCAAUCGUCCCAUUCGUUUACACACCUCGUGAUAAAUAACACACUUUAUUGAUUUAAUGCCUCUUUACACAAACAUCAGCCCUGAAUGCUGACUCACAGGCACCCAGAGACCCAGAUCUUGAGAGCUGGUUUCAGUAUGUCUGUGAGCUCCAUCAGCCGGUCUUAGGUUCUGUAUGUUUAAUGAUCCUCAGCAGUCAUUAAGGUACAGUCCAGAGUCAUGUGUCACAGUUUUACUCCUCUGCUGCAGCACUCCAUGUUUACUCACAUUAUCAGCCGUCUGGUUUUUCUAAAAUCUUUUUUUUUUUUUUGGUUUGGAGGGCUGGGUCAUAGUCUGCAGCAGAAAGCUGCCCAUUAUCCUCUCCAAGCUCACUUCACAUGAAUACAGAGUAGGAGCUGAUUAGCAGCAAACACUGAACGCCAUCAGUCGCCGCUCAUGCGCUUACAGCUGCAGAUGAAUUACAGGCUGCCAGAGUUUGAGUGAUUUUACCCAGUGGGACGUCUACAGGACACUGUGACAGGGACGAGGCUGAUGAACCUCCUGUUUACUCUACAGACCAGGCCGAGCCUCCGUCCAGCUCACAGAGCUGUGCUGCUGGACCGCUGCUUCAUGAAGGCACCUGAGUGUAAGUAGGCAGUGGCAGCAGUCAGCUUAACCUCAGUCUGAAAUCAUCUUUCACACAUUUAGAAACUUUGUUAGACGAAUAAACAUUAACCUGAACCUGAACCUCAUUGGCUGCCUCUCACAAAAGAGU